UACGAAGGGGGCUAGCGUUGUUCGGAUUUACUGGGCGUAAAGCGCACGUAGGCGGAUUGUUAAGUCGGGGGUGAAAUCCUGGAGCUCAACUUCAGAAUUGCCUUCGAUACUGGCUUUCUAGAGGCUGGAAGAGGUUAGUGGAAUUCCGCGUGUAGCAGUGAAAUGCGUAGAGAUGCGGAGGAACACCGAUGGCGAAGGCAGCCCCCUGGGCUGACACUGACGCUCAGGCACGAAAGCGUGGGGAGCAAACAGG
rnacentral:rRNA from 1 species